CCUACGGGUGGCAGCAGUGGGGAAUAUUGGACAAUGGGGGCAACCCUGAUCCAGCCAUGCCGCGUGUGUGAAGAAGGCCCUCGGGUUGUAAAGCACUUUCAAUGAGGAAGAACGCCUGGUGGUUAAUACCCAUCAGGAAAGACAUCACUCACAGAAGAAGCACCGGCUAACUCCGUGCCAGCAGCCGCGGUAAUACGGAGGGUGCGAGCGUUAAUCGGAAUUACUGGGCGUAAAGCGCGCGUAGGUGGCUUGAUAAGCCGGUUGUGAAAGCCCCGGGCUCAACCUGGGAACGGCAUCCGGAACUGUCAAGCUAGAGUGCAGGAGAGGAAGGUAGAAUUCCCGGUGUAGCGGUGAAAUGCGUAGAGAUCGGGAGGAAUACCAGUGGCGAAGGCGGCCUUCUGGACUGACACUGACACUGAGGUGCGAAAGCGUGGGUAGCAAACAGGAUUAGAUACCCGGGUAGUC
rnacentral:rRNA from 1 species